GUACUCGAGCGGCGAACGGGUGAGUAACACGUGAGCAACCUGCCCCAAGCUUUGGGAUAACCCUCGGAAACGGGGGCUAAUACCGAAUAUUACUGUCGGCCGCAUGGCUGGUGGUGGAAAGUUUUUCGGCUUGGGAUGGGCUCGCGGCCUAUCAGCUUGUUGGUGGGGUGAUGGCCUACCAAGGCGACGACGGGUAGCCGGCCUGAGAGGGCGACCGGCCACACUGGGACUGAGACACGGCCCAGACUCCUACGGGAGGCAGCAGUGGGGAAUAUUGCACAAUGGGCGGAAGCCUGAUGCAGCGACGCCGCGUGAGGGAUGACGGCCUUCGGGUUGUAAACCUCUUUCAGCAGGGACGAAGCGAGAGUGACGGUACCUGCAGAAGAAGCACCGGCCAACUACGUGCCAGCAGCCGCGGUAAGACGUAGGGUGCGAGCGUUGUCCGGAUUUAUUGGGCGUAAAGAGCUCGUAGGCGGCUUGUCGCGUCGACCGUGAAAACUUGGGGCUCAACUCCAAGCCUGCGGUCGAUACGGGCAGGCUAGAGUUCGGUAGGGGAGACUGGAAUUCCUGGUGUAGCGGUGAAAUGCGCAGAUAUCAGGAGGAACACCGGUGGCGAAGGCGGGUCUCUGGGCCGAUACUGACGCUGAGGAGCGAAAGCGUGGGGAGCGAACAGGAUUAGAUACCCUGGUAGUCCACGCUGUAAACGUUGGGCGCUAGGUGUGGGGGGCCUCUCCGGUUCCCUGUGCCGCAGCUAACGCAUUAAGCGCCCCGCCUGGGGAGUACGGCCGCAAGCUAAAACUCAAAGGAAUUGACGGGGGCCCGCCAAGCGGGGAACAUGCGGAUUAAUCGAUGCACG
rnacentral:rRNA from 1 species